ACUGCUCAGUAACACGUGGAUAACCUGCCCUUGGGUCCGGCAUAACCCCGGGAAACUGGGGAUAAUUCCGGAUAACGCACAUAUGCUGGAAUGCUUUAUGCGUAAAAUGGAUUCGUCUGCCCAAGGAUGGGUCUGCGGCCUAUCAGGUAGUAGUGGGUGUAAUGUACCUACUAGCCAACAACGGGUACGGGUUGUGAGAGCAAGAGCCCGGAGAUGGAUUCUGAGACAUGAAUCCAGGCCCUACGGGGCGCAGCAGGCGCGAAAACUUUACAAUGCGGGAAACCGUGAUAAGGGGACACCGAGUGCCAGCAUCAUAUGCUGGCUGUCCAGGUGUGUAAAAUACACCUGUUAGCAAGGGCCGGGCAAGACCGGUGCCAGCCGCCGCGGUAACACCGGCGGCCCGAGUGGUGAUCGUGAUUAUUGGGUCUAAAGGGUCCGUAGCCGGUUUGGUCAGUCCUCCGGGAAAUCUGAUAGCUCAACUAUUAGGCUUUCGGGGGAUACUGCCAGGCUUGGAACCGGGAGAGGUAAGAGGUACUACAGGGGUAGGAGUGAAAUCUUGUAAUCCCUGUGGGACCACCUGUGGCGAAGGCGUCUUACCAGAACGGGUUCGACGGUGAGGGACGAAAGCUGGGGGCACGAACCGGAUUAGAUACCCGGGUAGUCCCAGCCGUAAACGAUGCUCGCUAGGUGUCAGGCAUGGCGCGACCGUGUCUGGUGCCGCAGGGAAGCCGUGAAGCGAGCCACCUGGGAAGUACGGCCGCAAGGCUGAAACUUAAAGGAAUUGGCGGGGGAGCAC
rnacentral:rRNA from 1 species